GACGAACGCUGGCGGCGUGCCUAAUACAUGCAAGUAGAACGCUGAAGGAGGAGCUUGCUUCUCUGGAUGAGUUGCGAACGGGUGAGUAACGCGUAGGUAACCUGCCUGGUAGCGGGGGAUAACUAUUGGAAACGAUAGCUAAUACCGCAUAACAGUAGAUAUCGCAUGAUAUCUACUUGAAAGGUGCAAUUGCAUCACUACCAGAUGGACCUGCGUUGUAUUAGCUAGUUGGUGAGGUAACGGCUCACCAAGGCGACGAUACAUAGCCGACCUGAGAGGGUGAUCGGCCACACUGGGACUGAGACACGGCCCAGACUCCUACGGGAGGCAGCAGUAGGGAAUCUUCGGCAAUGGACGGAAGUCUGACCGAGCAACGCCGCGUGAGUGAAGAAGGUUUUCGGAUCGUAAAGCUCUGUUGUAAGAGAAGAACGAGUGUGAGAGUGGAAAGUUCACACUGUGACGGCAUCUUACCAGAAAGGGACGGCUAACUACGUG
rnacentral:rRNA from 1 species